CCGCGCCCCGCGCCCCUGCUUAAAGGGCCCGCGCCCCGCCGCCAGGGGCGCUCUCACUCCCCUCCCCCAGCGCUGGGUGCCUCCUGGGACCGGAGAAGUCCGGGGAGAGAGCCCAGCCCUGGUAGAUCCCGCCGCUGGGCCGAGGAAGAGCGAGGGGGUCUGUUGGACCUCAAUUCCACCCUUCCCCUUCGACAGCCAUUCACUCCCUGCGCCAGGCUCUGUGCUGGGAUCCAGCCUCAACAGACUCAUUCAUUGCUAGGCGCGGACAACGUCCCGUAAACAAAGAACACUCAGACAUUGUGGAUUGAGCUAUAAUAAGUGGGAGAAAGAGCUAAUUCUAAUUCUGCCUGGAGGAAGGGCACUGCAAGUCAUGGAAUUUGUACUGUCUAGGGGACUGCAUAUUGGAGCUGGAAGAGGGUUUUUCCAGAGGAAGUAACUGGAGAUGAGGUGGGACGGGACAGGCUGGGACGAAGAAUUUGGGCUUCUUGAUGUUGGCAAUUGGGACCCCGCUGAGAAAUGCGAGCAGUUCUGUGUUGAAGUCAGAACACCUGCCACUAGCAAUUUGUACAACUUUGGGAAAGUUUCUCUAGGGGACCCCGCUUCCACAUCUAUAAAUCAGAGUACCCACUUCACAGUUUGCUGUGAGACCUGUGUGAUAGAGGAAUGACUGAUUCGUCACCUAUAGAGCAGGGUUGUGAGAUAAAGAUGUUUGUGUAGGAAAGCUUAAGCCGUUCUCCUCUGCUACGUGGUGUAAAGAUCCCAGGUGGGUUGUACCUUCUGAAAACGUGGGCGGGUUCUUCGCGCUGCCCCUCCCUCUUAACCCCUCUCCUCUCCCCACCCCUACCCUCUCUUCCUUCUUCCUUAUUUGUGUUCUUUCUUGGGAACAAAUGACAUAUCCAGCAGAGAGUGACGCUCAAUAAAUGAGACUGUACGACGAUUCAAUACUCAGGAAAAGAAGGUGCUGUAUGCAUUCAAGUUAAAGGGCUGUAAAUAUUUUCGUAAUUCUAACAGAACUUUGCCCUCUUCUGCGAUCUCAGUGUGUGCUCGGUGCUGACUUCAUCCCCUCCCAUAAAAAUACUGUCCGUACGCGGUGGAGCCCUUGAAACCCUGCCCUUCUCAGCCCUAAUCCUCGUUCUUUAGUCCUGCACACUUCCUUCUACCCUACGCGCGCGCUAGGUGGAGUCUCCGGUCCUUAGUAAAGGGAAGGCUUCUUCGCCCCCUGGUGGUCAUAAGUGGAAAAGGUGAGUAAAUCAGAAAUCCUGUCCCCCCCCCUGCUUCCCAUAACAAAUUUUCGUUAGUCUGGAUAGCUAGGUCGUCGCGCUUCAGGAAAAGAGCUUCUCCUGAGGGAGACAGCUAUGUGAACAACUCUUUACGUUAGAAGUCUGAAAAGGGCCGUACGAAUCGGGAGUAAGGAUCAAGGAUGGCCAUUCAGCCUCUGCCGGAACACAUCCCGGGAUGGAACAUCCUAGUCCUCCUGGGAAAAGGCAGAAGUCUGGGUUCCACUUGCGAGUUGUGUACAAUAAACUGAAGAAAAUCAGGAAUCCAGGUGCAGCUUAGGUGGGUGCCUCUGUUUCAAGAUCUCUUACGAGACUACAAUUAAAGUCUAAGCUGGGACUACAGCCUCAUUUCACGGCUUGACUGUGGAAGGAUCUGCUUCCAAGGUCACUCAUGUGGUUGUUGGCAGGAAUCAGUCCUCAGGUGCUGUUGGACUUGGUUCCGUGCUGGCUAUUGGCUGGAGGCUGUCCUCAGUUCCUUGCCGUGUGGACCUCUCUGUAGGGCAGCUCACAACAUGGCAGAUGGCUUCCAUCAGAGCAAGGAGGUGAGAAAAACAGAGAGAACGAGAAAGACAGAGAAAGAGAUGGAUGGAAGCCAAAAUGUUUUUGCAAUCUGACCUCAGAUGUGGCAUCCUGUCUCUUUUGUCAUAUUCUGUUCAUUAAAAAAAAGUCAUUAGGUUCAGCUCACACUCAAGGUGAGGGGAUUACACGACGGAAUGAAGACCAGGAGCCAUCUCAGUGGCUCCCUAGGACACAGCUCAAAUCUGCUCUUUCAUCCCGUGUCAGACCUGGACAGCUCUGACCCAUUCUCCAAGCCUCAGAGUAGAUGCUUUACCCUCCAGGAUUGAGUUAAUGGUCCUUCAAGCAUGCCUCUGUGACACCCUGGACUUCUCCAUCAUAGCCCCCACCACAGCAUGUCAUUACCUAGCCACUGGUCUGCCUCCUGCCCCUUCUGUAAGCUCUGUGAGGACAGCCACCUUGUCUCUUGUCUUCACUGAUGUGGACCCAGACCCAAGCAUAGGGCCAAAACAUACUGGGCACUCGGGGUAUGUUUACUAAAUUUAUUAAACGACCGUUCUUAUAA